rnacentral:rRNA from 1 species
GAUGAACGCUGGCGGCGUGCCUAAUACAUGCAAGUCGAGCGAACGGACGAGAAGCUUGCUUCUCUGAUGUUAGCGGCGGACGGGUGAGUAACACGUGGAUAACCUACCUAUAAGACUGGGAUAACUUCGGGAAACCGUAGCUAAUACCGGAUAAUAUUUUGAACCGCAUGGUUCAAAAGUGAAAGACGGUCUUGCUGUCACUUAUAGAUGGAUCCGCGCUGCAUUAGCUAGUUGGUAAGGUAACGGCUUACCAAGGCAACGAUGCAUAGCCGACCUGAGAGGUUGAUGGGCCACACUGGAACUUGGACACGGUCCAGACUCCUACGGGAGGCAGCAGUAGGGAAUCUUCCGCAAUGGGCGAAAGCCUGACGGAGCAACGCCGCGUGAGUGAUGAAGGUCUUCGGAUCGUAAAACUCUGUUAUUAGGGAAGAACAUAUGUGUAAGUAACUGUGCACAUCUUGACGGUACCUAAUCAGAAAGCCACGGCUAACUACGUG